UACAGAGGGGGCAAGCGUUAUUCGGAAUUAUUGGGCGUAAAGGGCGCGUAGGCGGCCUGGCAAGUGGAAGGUGAAAUCCCUCGGCUUAACCGAGGAACUGCCCUCCAAACUGCUUGGCUUGAGUCCGGGAGAGGUGAGUGGAAUUCCCAGUGUAGCGGUGAAAUGCGUAGAUAUUGGGAGGAACACCAGUGGCGAAGGCGGCUCACUGGACCGGAACUGACGCUGAUGCACGAAAGCUAGGGGAGCAAACAGG
rnacentral:rRNA from 1 species